CCUACGGGAGGCUGCAGUGAGGAAUAUUGGUCAAUGGGCGCGAGCCUGAAGCAGCCAAGUAGCGUGAAGGAGGACUGCCCUACGGGUUGUAAACUUCUUUUAUAAAGGAGUAAAUUGAGGCACGUGUCCCUUUUGGUAUGGACUUUAUGAAUAAGGCUCGGCUAACUCCGUGCCAGCGGCCGCGGUAAUACGGAGGAGCCGAGCGUUAUCCGGAUUUAUUGGGUUUAAAGGGAGCGUAGGUGGAUUGUUAAGUCAGUUGUGAAAGUUUGCGGCUCAACCGUAAAAUUGCAGUUGAAACUGACAGUCUUGAGUACAGUAGAGGUGAGCGGAAUUCGUAGUGUAGCGGUGAAAUGCUUAGAUAUUACGAAGAACUCCAGUGGCGAAGGCAGUUCACUGGACUGCAACUGACACUGAGGCUCGAAAGUGUGGGUAGCAAACAGGAUUAGAUACCCGAGUAGUC
rnacentral:rRNA from 1 species